UAAAACAUAUAAUUAAUGCAUCAAAUCCCAUUAGAACUCCACAGUUAAGGGUGCUCAGGCUAUAGUAGUACUGGGAUGGGUGACUGCUCAGGAAGUCCUAAUAUUUUAC
rnacentral:rRNA from 1 species